CAUCCUACUAUAUUGUUCGCCAGAGUACUACAAGCGCUAGCUUAAAACCCAAAGGACUUGGCGGUAUCCCAUACCCACCUAGAGGAGCCUGUUCUAUAACCGAUAAUCCCCGUUCAACCUCACCACUUCUUGCCAUUACCGUCUAUAUACCGCCGUCGUCAGCCCACCCUGUGAAGGACUAAAAGUAAGCAAAAAGAAUAAAACUCCAAAACGUCAGGUCGAGGUGUAGCAAAUGAAGUGGGAAGAAAUGGGCUACAUUUUCUUCUAAAAAUAUACGAAUGGUAAACUGAAAACACACCUAAAGGUGGAUUUAGCAGUAAGAGGAGAUCAGAACGCUCCUCUGAAACCGGCUCUGGGAUAAGCACACACCGCCCGUCACUCUCCUCAAAAACAACUUACCCCUUUCCAUAAAUAUAUUCCUUCAAUAAGAGGAGGCAAGUCGUAACAUGGUAAGUGUACUGGAAAGUGCACUUGGAAUC
rnacentral:rRNA from 1 species